rnacentral:rRNA from 1 species
UUGGAGGGCAAGUCUGGUGCCAGCAGCCGCGGUAAUUCCAGCUCCAAUAGCGUAUAUUAAAGUUGCUGCAGUUAAAAAGCUCGUAGUUGAAUUUCGGGAUCGAUAUGUUGGUCGUGCCUUGGUACGUACUAAUUUAUUGGUUUCUUCCUUCUGACGAACCUUGAUGUCAUUAAUUUGGUGUUUUGGGGAAUCAGGACUGUUACUUUGAAAAAAUUAGAGUGUUUAAAGCAGGCUCACGCUUGAAUACAUUAGCAUGGAAUAAUGAAAUAGGACGUUUGAUUCUAUUUUGUUGGUUUCUAGGAUUGACGUAAUGAUUAAUAGGGAUAGUUGGGGGCAGUUAGUAUUCAAUUGUCAGAGGUGAAAUUCUUGGAUUUAUUGAAGACUAACUACUG